ACAAUUGUGUAUUCUUCUCCGCGAUAUUUAUCAAUUUUGAGACUUGAAUGUAUUAUUUUUCAUUAUAAAUUCGUAAUAAACUAAUUCGAAACAAGAAAUUAUGGUUCAAAUCUCAAAAAUUAAAUUUUUUUUUUAAGUAACAUCUGUUGCGUAUUGUCACACCUGGCCAACCUACCUGGGACAAUGGCCCACUCAUGGCGAUCCACGUGGUAUUCCUGCCGAGGUGGCACACAAUGCCGAGGUGGGCUACAUCCGAACUGCUUCAAGCCGAAAUCCAUCUGCCGAGGCUCCUUUUUGUCCGAGGCCCAUUGACCGAGGCCUACGAACCGAAACCAGGCUGCUGGAACCUGUUGAGAGCAGUUGAGGUCCUCAAGUGGAAGUAUCAUGACAAAUGGCCGAAGCCCCGAAGCUGAUGCGCGAGCCUCUGAACCACAAGGAAACAUCCUCCAUGGUUACUUCUCCCAAGAGAUUGCCUGCACAGAUCUUAUUCAAAUGAUUGAUGGAACAUUUGUUAUAAGCAUAAAGGUCAAGUCUUGUCACUAGCAUAGAGGCCCUGCACAAGUAAUAAAUGCGCCGCAAGCUAGCAAGUCAAGCCCCAUACAUAGGAAAAGAUGUUUGAACUAAAGAUAUGAGACCACGUGCCACUUCAUCCAAGGGCUCCCAUUUCAUAUGUACUACUACAAAUAUUCCCCUUAUGUAAUAUCAAAAGGCUAAUACAAGAAUCAAUACAAAGAACUACAUUUACUCAACUCUCUCUCAUUUUACUUGCAAUACACAAAUCAAGUUUAUACACAUUUACAUAUACAUUUAUGAACACCGGUUGGUAAUUAUUAUACAAUCGGACUACGAACAACUCGUCGGAUUCCGAACGUCACCGUCCCGCGUCGUUGGGCUACUCCCACGCCCUUCGAACCGCUCGUUUUAGACCGUCCACGUGUCUUAGCGUAUUGGACAUUCGCCCACGCAAGCGCGGGUGGGACCGGCAUCUGUUGGCGCACUUUUUGGGGUCAACAGAUUGACGCCGUCUGUGGAAAACCAUACCAUAACCACGAGCAACCUUGUGGUAAAAGCUUACUAAAAAACAUUUGGGCAACUCCCCUUGAAAAAAGAUUUGUUCUUGAAAAAGAACAGGAGAAACCCCUAUCACUUGGACAAAUCUAAGUUUGAUAAAAGAAAAAUGAGUUCUAACGAAAAUACUCCCCCUAGGAGGGUAAGAGAAAGCACGAAUGUGCCUCCCCAGCCUGCUGCCCCAGCAGCUCAGUCGAGACUCCACCACCACCAAAGGAGAGGUGGAAUGAGUGCGAUAGCACGACUAUCAAGAGAAAUGGCUACCAUGGCAGCCAACAUGAGGGAUAUUGCCAACCAAAACUUGGCCAUGAAUGCAAGGCCAGGGAGGCUUCCCCAUUCCUCCAUACGCCCCCCCACAGGCACUAUCAGCAAGAGGACGAGGUUCAGAGUCAUAGGGCUGCCUCGCUAGACUAUGGCCGAGGUGGAAGCCCGUUCGAGAGGGAAGUGGGAGUCGACAUUUCCUCCAACUAUGCUUCUGGUCGACCCACCGAGGCCCAAAUAAGCCACGAUGAUUUUCCACCUCCAUAUGAGCAAGAUCCAAGACAUAGGAGAGCUGGCAGUGUUUUUGACAGAAUUAGCCUCGCCGAACCGAGGCUCAGUCAACAGCAGGCUCAGCAGCCUCGGACGAGGCUACAGCCUCCACCUCCAAUGCCCCAGCAGCCGGAGAGAAGACAUGAAAAUGCCUCCCGUGCUGCCCCGCCUAGAAGUAGGCCGCAAAGGAGGGAGGAAGAGGCUAGGAACCGGCCCGGACCCUCUCACCAACAACCAAGGUACGAGGCCGAUGACUACGAUUCUGAUGAGCAACAGAGGUCCUGUGACUUGGACGAUGAUGAUGAGAACUUGCCAUUCUCAAGAGAACUAAGGAAUGCCCAGGUCCCGAGCCACUACGUCAUGCCAAAAAUACCAAAGUAUGACGGAAGAGGCGACCCGGAGAAGCACCUCAACGCUUACAAAACUCACAUGAGCCUGAGGGGUGCCACCCCAGCCGUGAAGUGCAGGGCUUUCCACUUAACCUUCAGUGGAGCGGCUGAAAUCUGGUAUAGCAGGUUGUCACCUGGGAGCAUCCGAAGCUGGCCUGAGUUCAAGACAACAUUCUUGAAGCGAUUCGCAGUGAGCAAGGAAGGAGAGGCCCCCAUCCAGCGUCUACAAGACAUGAGACAUGCACAUGGGGAGUCCCUAAAGAGCUUCCUAUCACGCUUCACCGAUGAGAUGACUUACUGCGUACAAGUCAUCGACAGAGAAGCACUAUCUGCAUUGAGGGGAGGCCUGAACAUGAACACCCUAUUCUGGAGGGAUGUGCAGAAUCAAGACCCCACCACCUAUGACGCCCUACUAGAGAUGAUGAGAAGGGAGAUAAUCAAUGAAGAAUUGAUUGAGCAUAGGAACAGGGCAAGUAGAGGCCUCCUACCUCCUCAAAGGUAGCGAGGUAGGGGUCCGAUCUCCCACCUCAUGGACUAGCAGAUGAACCAAACCGAAAAUGAGAACUCUGGACAAGCACUGGCCACCACAACUCUGAACGCGGUUCCUACCCUGACAUAUGAGGAUGUCAACCCAAUUGCUGACCCACAUCAGAUGGAGGCCCAGCAGGGACCCACAGAGGGAGAGGCCGAGGCUUUGCACCUAGAAAUAGGUCCAAUCCGAACCUCCCAGGAUACUGUUUGCACCACAGGUCCUACGGGCAUGACACCGCGGAUUGCAGAGACUAUGCACACCGCUCUCGGUAGGAACCCACCAGAGACAGACAUGAUUCGCCCCAGAUGAACAGGCCCCCAUCUAGGCACGACAACCGACGUGGGCGUGAGGAGGCCGCUCCCCGUCAAAGGGAUGAAUCCCCACGACGAAGGGAGCAUGAUGCAGAGAGGCCCAGGGAAGGGCGUAGGCACCGAAGAAAUCGGUACACUCAAGGCCCCUAUCCACGAGGUGGAUACCAUAUUUGGAGGCCCUUAUGUUGGUGGUGAAACAUGAAACGCCAAAAGAAAUUAUGCUCGAGAGGCUAAACACCCCCCUUUGACGAGUUACAUUAUGGACAAUAGCUCUCGAAAAAACCAAGUACCACCCAUUGUCUUCACCCAGGAAGACGCCGAAGGAGUUCAUUACCCCCAUUGCGAUGCGCUUGUGGUGAGGGCUUUCAUAGCCCGGAAUGGGCUCAAAUGAAUGCUAGUCGACAACGACAGCUCCGUCAAUAUCCUGUUUGGGUCCGCCUUUGACAAAAUGAUAUUGGACCAUCAGUUGACACCCACCACCACUCCAUUGUACGGAUUUACUGGAGAUAGCAUCACUCCGAGGGGAAAGAUAACACUAGCAGUGGAGAUAGGAGAGUCUCCAUAAACUACGAUAAACUUCAUGGAAUUCCUCAUAGUUGACAGCUGGUCGGCUUACCACGGAGUCUUGGGCAGAUGCUACAACUUUAAGUUUGCAAACCCAAGUGCAGGUUGUCGCAAGUAGUAAAUCUCGGAAGUCCGAGGUCGAACCACAGGGAAUUGGAAGGAAAUAAACUAUUCUAUGAGUAAUAAACGGUUGGUGAAAAUACGAUGAAGACAAACACUAGAGCAUCGGGGAUUCACUUUGGAUAAAUGAGUAGAAAUUGCCCUUGAUCUUUAAUUUAACUCAUAUGAAAAUCAACUAAGGAGUCAUCUCAUAUGGAAGAUAAAACAUUAACCACAAAUAUACUAAAAGAUAGAUCUUGAUAAUUGUUUGAGAGAAUAUGUCAAAAUAAGUUGUUGGUAUGUAGAGAUUAUCUAAGCAUUUAUUGUGCCAAAAUUGUCAACAAUAAAUCAAAGUCUUUAACAAACCAAAACCAUUUGUAGAACACAAACUUCAACCAAGUAAGAAGAUGAACAUUGAAGAACAAAAUGAAAGAUCAAAGACAAUACGAAACAUUCAUCAAAGUUUCACCCUUAGCUCUAGCUAAAUGUUUAGAAAUACAUAGUGAAAUGUUACAAAGAAAAUGAAGGAAACUAGAAUAUAAUGGAGAGGAUUUAUGCUUCAAAAUCGUGGCCAAGGUCCCCUUUUAUAGGCAAAGGAACAUCCAAAAUUCAAGUAGGCAAUGCAACUUGUUUCUGUCCAGCUUCAAGACAGCUGGAACAUGCAACUUGAUGCCAAUUUUCAGAUAUAUUGUGCAGCGAAUUUGGACUUAUGAUCAACAGAUAAAUUAUUGCCACUUGAGUUAGCUUUCCAUUGGUUCAAAUGUCAGGUUCAUUGGAUCUAUAUAACUCCAGAUAUGACAAAAACAAUAAGUGCUGCUUCACAGGUAAAGCUGUAUCCGGCAGGCAACAAGCUGGACUUUGCACGGUAAUUUUGGCUGCCUUGUGAUACGAAUUUGACUUCUUACAAAACAUGAAAGUUGUAGAAACGUGCCUUUCUUUCCAACCCAACUUGAAUCACCUCGAUCCAAUGUCUGAAGCUCAAGUUAUGAUUAUUUUACCAACAGCUGCUUCUUGCUUGAGGCAGUCACUAUUUUUGACUUUUCAACAUUAUUUUCCUCCACUUGCUCCACUUGUUCUAAUUUGGAAAUACAAGUGAAAUACAUCAAAUAGAUACUCUUUCAAAUGUAUAAUACUCAUGCCACCAUGUAUGUAAAUACGUAUUUCAAUUAAUUGCAUUUUUAACCAUGUAUUUAUGGAAAUUGAAUUUAUGGCAUGAGAAUUGGAAUUAGAGACUAACAUUAGCGUUUUUAAACAAAGUGAAUGUAAAAUGCCUUCUAAAUGAUAUAUCUUUAAGCAAUUUCAGAUGCUAAUCAGCAAACCAGCCCUAAAGGAAUUGGGAGCAGUCACUUCCAUCCACCACCUAUGCAUGAAAUUCCCGACAGAAAACGGGGUGGCAACAGUGAGAGGCGACCAGAGAGGCUCGAGAGAGUGCUAUCUAAGCUCCAUUAAGAAGGUAGAGCCCUGGGACAUCCACGUGAUCAUGGCUGAUGUGGUCAUGGCGGAUGUCCCAGGUGACGCUCCCACUGAACAAGAAGAUGUUGAUAUGAUUGACGCAUCACUUAAUCCGGAGGUGCUGAUCAUUGAUGAGAUUGACCCCCGCAUAAUGGAACAUGAGCCUCAAGCAUCUCCUGUAGAGGAACUUGAGAGCUUCUCGACCGACCCCCGAGACCCUUCCAAGGUGCUGAAGGUAGGCAAAGGCCUAUCUAACAUUUUGAGAGAAAAGAUUAAGGACUUCCUAGGCAAGAACCUUGACAUCUUUGCUUGGAGGCAUGAGGACAUGGUGGGCAUUGACCCCGAGGUUAGCUGCCACCACUUGAAAAUUGAUCCUAAGGUUGCCCCGCAUAGACAAAAAAGGAGAGCCCUCAACCCUGAGAGGUAUGAGGCCCUGAAGGAAGAGGUUCAGAAGCUCAUCCAAAAUGGCUUCAUCAGGGAGGCCACCUAUCCGAGGUGGGUUUCCAACCCAGUCCUGGUUAAGAAACACAAUGGCAAAUGGAGGGUAUGCAUCGACUUUACCAACCUCAAUAGAGCUUGCCCGAAAGACAGCUUUCCGCUUCCAAGGAUUAACCAAUUGGUAGACUCCACGACCGGGCACGAGUUGUUGAGCUUCAUUGAUGCAUACUCCGGCUAAAACCAAAUCCCCAUGCAUCCGGUUGAUGAAGAGCACACCUCUUUCAUCACGGACCGAGGUCUCUAUUGCUAUAGAAUGAUGCCCUUCGGGUUGAAAAACGUCGGAGCAACCUACCAAAGACUCGUGAACAAAAUGUUUACGGACCUCUUUGGCAAGACAAUGGAGGUCUACGUAGAUGACAUGCUGGUGAAGAGUUUAGAAGCAGAGGACCACAUAGCGCACCUCAACAAUACCUUCCAAAUCCUCAGAAGGUACAGGAUGAGGCUCAACCUGCUUAAAUGUGCCUUUGGAGUGGCUUCCGGCUAGUUCUUGGGGUACAUGGUCAACCAACGAGGAAUUGAGGCCAACCCCAAGAAGAUUGAGGCUNNNNNNNNNNNNNNNNNNNNNNNNNNNNNNNNNNNNNNNNNNNNNNNNNNNNNNNNNNNNNNNNNNNNNNNNNNNNNNNNNNNNNNNNNNNNNNNNNNNNNNNNNNNNNNNNNNNNNNNNNNNNNNNNNNNNNNNNNNNNNNNNNNNNNNNNNNNNNNNNNNNNNNNNNNNNNNNNNNNNNNNNNNNNNNNNNNNNNNNNNNNNNNNNNNNNNNNNNNNNNNNNNNNNNNNNNNNNNNNNNNNNNNNNNNNNNNNNNNNNNNNNNNNNNNNNUCAGUUCGGUUCUGAUUCGAGAAGAAGGGUCCACCCAACUCCCCGUCUACUAUACGAGUAAAGCGCUCCUAUCGCCGGAAACCCAUUACCCCGAUAUGGAGAAGCACGCUCUGGCCUUAAUCACGGCCUCCAGGAAAUUGAGACCCUACUUCCAAGCUCAUACCAUCCAUGUACUUACAAAUUUUCCCCUGAGGCAGGUACUCCAAAAGACCAAUGCCUCAAGAAGACUAUUGAAAUGGGCAGUGGAACUAAGUGAAUUCGACCUUGUGUUCAAGGCUAAGGCAGCCAUCAAGGGGCAAGCCUUAGCUGACUUUGUGGCUGAAUUCGCCAACCUACCCGAGGUGGAUGCAAUUAUGGAACCCAUUGAGCCCCCUACGUGGAGCCUCUUCGUUGAUGGUUCAGCUGGGGAGCUCGGCUCAGGCGCUGGUAUUGUCCUCAUAAGCCCCGAGGGUCACAAGCUCACCUCGGUGGUGAGGUUCAGAUUCAAAGCCACCAAUAAUGUAGCUGAGUAUGAGGCACUCCUUGCGGGCCUCAGACUGGCCAAGGAAAUGCAAGUAAAGAGGUUACUCAUCGAGUCGAAGUCCAUCUGUCGAGGCUCCUUUUUGUUCGAGGCCCAUUGACCGAGGCCUACGAACCGAAGCCAGGCUGCUGAAACCUGUUGAGAGCAGUUGAGGCCCUCAAGUGGAAGUAUCAUGACAAAUGGCCGAAGCCCCGAAGCUGAUGCGCGAGCCUCUGAACCACAAGGAAACAUCCUCCAUGGUUACUUCUCCCAAGAGAUCGCCUGCACAAAUCUUAUUCGAAUGAUUGAUGGAACGUUUGUCAUAAGCAUAAAGGUCAAGUCUUGUCACUAGCAUGGAGGCCCUGCACAAGUAAUAAAUGCGCCGCAAGCUAGCAAGUCAAGCCCCAUACCUAGGAAAAGAUGUUUGAACUAAAGAGAUGAGACCACGUGC
rnacentral:lncRNA from 1 species